rnacentral:rRNA from 1 species
AUUGAACGCUGGCGGCAUGCCUUACACAUGCAAGUCGAACGGUAACGGGCCUUCGGGUGCCGACGAGUGGCGAACGGGUGAGUAAUGCAUCGGAACGUGCCCGAUCGUGGGGGAUAACGCAGCGAAAGCUGUGCUAAUACCGCAUACGAUCUACGGAUGAAAGCGGGGGAUCGCAAGACCUCGCGCGGACGGAGCGGCCGAUGGCAGAUUAGGUAGUUGGUGGGAUAAAAGCUUACCAAGCCGACGAUCUGUAGCUGGUCUGAGAGGACGACCAGCCACACUGGGACUGAGACACGGCCCAGACUCCUACGGGAGGCAGCAGUGGGGAAUUUUGGACAAUGGGCGCAAGCCUGAUCCAGCCAUGCCGCGUGCAGGAUGAAGGCCUUCGGGUUGUAAACUGCUUUUGUACGGAACGAAAGACUCUUUCUAAUAAAGAGGUCCAUGACGUACCGUAAGAAUAAGCACCGGCCUAACUACGUGCCAGCAGCCGCGGU